AUCCGCAAAGCGUCAAGAAAUAAACGAUUGCCGUUGGCUGCAUCAUUGACAAAGGAUUAGAGAAGAACACAGUCUUUCGGGAUAUUUUGCACUUUUUCAAACACCAGCGUAGGUGCGUCUUUGGCCAACAAGAAGUCGGCGUGAUUGAAUUUGGGAAAUGGCACUCUGUAGUCUUCCACUAUAUUGGGAAGCGAGUCACGAAGUAUCUUCAAGUCCUAGAAAAAAUCUGUUGUGUGAAGAGAUUGACGUUGCAUCCCACUCUCGCCAGAUACAGCAAUACACUGUUCUUUGGCAAGAAUUCAUUUAUGCCUAAGAAUCGCAAGAUUGCCUACAAUGGAAAAUAUUUUUAUCUCUUUUCAUGUCAUGCGAGCUAACUGCUACAUUAAUUGAGCAAGUUUCUAGCGGACUCUUUCUGCAUAAGUACAAAAAUGAAGAUAAGUACAAUAAUUUAAGAACAUCAUAAACUAACGUAUAUAAAUUUAUGUAGUGCAAAUUACUCUGAUCUUAUUUUUUAGAUUAUUGUCAUUGAAAUUAUGGUCAUCCAACAUCUAUACUUUUAUCGAAAACUGGAGCAAGCUAAUUAGCUUACCUCGAUGGAGCUUGUAUAAGGAGCAAACAAUCGCAACAAGCUUGUCAUAUUUCCUACAAAGGCUACAGGCGCGAG